CUUGCUACUACACCAAAUUCAAAGAUACAAGAGGCAACUUGGAAAUAUUCAACAAUAUACAAUCGCUUCUAACUAAUAAAAAAGCAAUGUAAGAAAUGUCCAAGUUUUCUAAAAGAAAUAGACUGUAGAAUUAUACAAAAGUGUAUUAAUUCGCUAAUAAAUAUUUAACUGGUUUCCUACUAAUUACCAGCGCUAACUAAUGUAACUAUGGGAAAUUAAGCAUGUAUAUACUAUUUAAAUAUUUGUAGAUUUAUAGAAUACACGUUAAUUGCAGUCACUAAUACAUUUUCAAGUUGAACAUCGUAGAAUUUUGAGGACUCUGUUUCUUCUUUCUUUAUGGCAGACGAAAGAUCGUAUGAAAUCUAUAGCUCAGUUUAUAUACCGCAACGCAGACGUAUCCACGUGUCUCCACGCCCAAUCGCAGUAAACUGUGAAGAGGAUUACGACCACGUAUAAAUUACAUUUUCAGUGGACUGAUAAUAAAAGUAAUGGCGACUAUAAAGCUAUGAAACAAACUACUCGCAAUUAUUUCUUACUAUGACGAUACGUUUUAUAUCAUUUCUAUAUAAACAUCUAUACUCUAUUAAUUGAAAUAUGAAAAUAAAAGUUUCCAACAAUGGCGACAUAAAUAUCAUUAGGUUCCUAUAAAGAAUUUCUGAAAUUCUACGGAAUUUUUUAUUAAUGAAAUUCUAUAAAAUUCCAUGUUAAUGAAAUUCUUCAAGUUCUUUGAAAUAUUCUAAAUUUCUUGCGCCGCUAACAGCAGAAUAUCAUAGACAAAAGCUGAACGUACGACAUAACUUAGGAACAAGAGAAAAAGAUCGCAAAACAAAAAUUCAUCCCCGGUUUCUGUGCCCGUGUGUGUGUGAAAUUUUUAUAAUCGAUAUGAGAAAUGGGGACCUGUUUUUCCCCAUGUCGAGUGUUUCCCAGGCUGAUAAAUCAAACACUCGUACAUUUUUCUAUGAGAAGAUUGGUUCGUACAGUGAUAAGGGUAGUGACCUCUUGAGAGUCUAUGGGAGUUUUAAUGAGAUACAUGGAAGUUUUAACGAGAUGUUCACACUUCUAAUUAGGAUGGAACUCUCUAAAAAUCUCAUACUAAUUAAUUGGUUAUUUGAUAGACAUGAUAUGAUGAUAGACAUGAUGAUAGAAAGGGAUAAAACUAACCGAAAUGAACUAAUUUUACUGCACUGGAGAAAAUACUAUUUUUCUAAAUAAUUUAAAUAACAAUUAAACAAAAUAUUUAGAUAAGUAUUGAAAAAUUAUUAUUACAAAAAAUUUCUAAGAAUUCUUCGACUAUCCCAACUCUUAACUGUACAAUCGAUCAUUGUGCCCAACAGAUCUUUCCAUCCAAGUACUGGAUCGGUAUGUGCCACUUCAUUCAAGCUGUAGUGACGCGAUCGUUCAUACAUCGACCCAUUAUUGAUCACUCUGUCGAUUCCUUCGACAACUGUUUUAAUUCAAUUCGUAUGCCCGUGACACGUUAAUAUUUCAGAUGGUACGGCAGACAGAUUGAUCGGCGGAUAUAGAUCUCGAUUCGGUGUAUCAUUUCACUCCGAUUAUAUAACCUGAACCGGACCUCACACAUUGCUCGACAUUGCACGUGCAUCUUAACGGAUUGGAAACUUCAGACACAACUUACAUAAGAUCAAUAGCUGAUUUUUCGAAUCUGUCUACAAUGUUAUUGGACAGAGUAGAACAACCUCUGUUAAGUGUAUAACGGCAAUACCAUAAGAUUAAUAUACUGCGGAGUCGGAAAGAUGACUAGCAGGAUGACACAGGAGUAAGACAGGUACUGUUCUAUAUAGUUCACUGUCAAACAUUGUUACAUUGUUUUAUUUGUAAUAUGUGAUACUUUCAGCCAACACGUGUGCUUAUCUUUAUGAUUGUGUCGGAUCUAUAAGAAAUAACCAAUCAGAUCCGCAUUCCUUAAGCUACAUCUUCCUUCCAACUCCACGUUAUAUGCAUUUAUUUUCUGUGAAGCUAUCGAUAACAUAAUGCAUUAUUCUUUGCCUCGGUAGAAGGAAGUAGCCUCCUGAUAGUUUCUUUAAAGUCGUGUCUUCGAUAAAUGGCGUCACGGCGUGACAGGUUCGAUCAGGGUGGAACAUCCCUUUCAUCGAACCAGCACUUUAAUCAUGGACCCGACAAAGGAUUCGAUCCUCCGCCGUGAAUCGCGAUUUCUUUUCAACCGUCACACACUUAUCAAACCGCUGACGCCUUCACUACAAUGUAACAUUCAAUGCCGGAGGAGACACGUUGUAAAUCGCCAGUUUAAACCUCGUCGUUCCACGGUUUUGCAGCCAGUUUCCGGAUAAGCUGUAGUCGCAUGUACACAAUGUAACGUAAUUGACCAUCAGCGCGAAUAAACAUUUUCAAUUAUGGCAUCUUCCCGCGAGAAAGCGAUCGCCUACGAAAAAAUUAAAUAUUUCAUCUGCCUUCGUCUUUUGUUUUUUCUUAAAACGUGAAUCGUUUCGCUAGUUCCAACGAGAUUGGAAUUAAAAUACGAAGAUUCGAAAGAGCUUCGACUAGAAUGAAGGUUCUGCUUAUUUCUAUUUUUAAAAGAUUCUGACAAUAACGUUGAUAUUAUCAUUUUCUAGAAGCAAGGAACAAUACCAAAAUUUAUAUUGCGUUGUAUAAACUAUAAUUCGAUUGUAAUUUAAUAUAAUCUAUGGUAGAAGAAAGAUUAUUGCGCACUGCUCAAUUUAGCGGAGGAAAAAGAAGUCUUUCUCUUUGAGGAGUCCCCCAACGUCACUUAAUGCUCUUAAUUGCAUGCUUAGCAGCAGUUUGUUCACUCUUAAUUACCUCAUCGACACCACUACGCACAGUUUCCCUUUGGACGAAUCAAAGAAUUAUCCUGACAGAUAAUAUUUAUGCCGAACAUGGGCAAUAAUUUUUCGCCGGUAUUAUUAUUUUUACAAAACCAGCCACAGUUCACCAAGUCGAACGGAUAAUUAAUUAUGCAGCGGGUACAUUAAUAUUUCAAGUGUCGACUGCUUUAACUUGCGCGGCUUUUGCACGCGAACCUCUUGUCGAGCCGCGAGAAUUGAAAAGCGACCGCGAAAUUAACGCGCUGCGGUGCUGUAAUAAAUUAUUUUGUGAUUGAUAACUAAUUAAAUGAUCUUACGAACUUCAAAGAAAAUCUCCGGUAAUGAUUCUAUUGGAAUAAUAAAUAACGAUUGCCGAUCUUUGAAUUAAUUUUGAAGCUUUUCAUUUAGAAUCUUAUUGAAAUUAGAUACAGGUUCUUGCUUGAAUUUUUGAAAAUUUUCGAAAUUAAAAAAAAAGAGAUAUUUAACGACAAUGUUAUAUCAAACUAAUAAAUACAAUUUCUAUAAAAUUUUAAUUAUACUCUCAUGUGUCUAAUUUAGAAAUUUCAUUGCUUAAGUUCUGAUUUUAAUCUACGACUAUCUGACAAAUUUUAAAUACAUCAGAUUAAAUUAAUCAAAGUAAAGGGAAAAAUAAAUAUUUAAUUCUUUUUUCUUUUCCGAUAUAGAUUACGAUAUCGCAAAGAUAAAUAAAAUACAUUUGUGGAGAAAAUCUUGGGUUUCAGCUAUAUGUAUUCCUAGUUUCACAAAUUCUGUAUUAGAAACAUCGAAACGAUGAACGUAUCGUCAGAACGCUUAUCUCGGGGACAUAAUUCACAGCAAAAAGCCAGCUUAUCGUAUUUAUGGGCCAUUUGUACGUCAAAGUUGCAAGAGAAGUUUCAAAUUUCUCGUAGAUAGAAAUAUGUCCCAACUUGACAGCUACCAUGUGAAAGCAAUACGUAUUUUGAAAAGUGGUAUUUCGGUGAAAAGACUGCGUGGCUUUCUUGUUUUAUCUUUCUAGUUGAACAACGUACAGGAGAUAUUGGAACUGGGAGUAGCAUUUACGUUAUCCUUUAUGUGCUUCCUUUCGAAAACUUACUACGAUUCCUUACUUAUUUUUAAAUUUUAUUUCUUACCCUCAUCCUACGUGAAAUCCGGACUACGUGGGAAUUGCAACAUUUUUUAUGAGUUGCGCUCAUUCCACACGCACGUGACGAAUUGACAAAGAAAAAAAAAACAUAUUGCACGAUUCAAUUUUCAUUCUGAAUGUGACGUUACGAAUAGAAUAAGAAUAAUCCUUGGACAACGUAGAAUAUUAUAUUCCUCAAAGUUCCUGUAUCACAUUCUAUCGAUAUGUUUUACUUUUAAUAUUAUAUUUAGUUACAUUAUUACAUAUUUGUAAUGUCUGCUAUUAUAUUUGGUUUCGUAUAUUUACAUAUAUGCGUUCGUAAGUGACAAAAUUAUCCUCAUAAUUGUACGUCUAAGAUUUUAUGUUGAAAUGCUAUCAAAGCUGUUCCAGAAUUGAUACUCCGUACACCUAACAUUGAAUCUCGACAAACUUGUAAAUAAAGCGAUUAAAACUAGUUACAGCUGGAACGUAACAACUUAUUAAAGUUCCUGAGAACGUGGAAAGAGCAGAUAAAAGGUUCUCGCGCACUUAAAAACUUACUCAACGACUUUACCGCAGUUGUCUUAUAGUUUUCUGAUUUUAUGUAUCUCGUCGUUUUUAUGAAAGACACGAGUUACAUAAAAAAUUCAUUUCACGACAGUUAUUAACCUCGUUCGAAUGUUUUCCAACGAUUCAGAUUUGCUGUGUAAAGUAUCGGUCAGGAAUGCGAUAUGACUGCCGCUCAUCGAACUUCUGCAUCAUUUUUGCGUGAAAGUACUCGCUUAAACCAGAUUUACAAGUUCUCAACCACUUUGCAUCAAUCGUAAAAUAUUCCAAACAUGAAUUUUUCCCAUCACCAGCAAUCGGAUAUUAUGGAUAAAAAUCAGACACAUAUUGAGAUUUAAGUAGGUACUUUCUGCCGUUUUACGUUCAUUUACGUAUUCCUUUGCAUUUCAUAUUAUGUUGCGUAUUAAACGAAUUCUAAUGAAUUUUUGUUGAAAAUAGAAAUUAUAAUUAAAAAUAGAAAUAAUUUAUCAACACUAUAUUUUAUAAUAAAUUCUACUAUUGAAAGGCUGAGAAAUUUAAAUCUCCCUAUAUGUAAAAAUGCCUCGUCUGUAUUAAAAUCAGUAAUUUAAGAAAGUAACUAUACUAAAAAAAUAAGUUAUUUUUUUUUAAUAUAACUAAGAAGCUAAAUUUUUAACUCUACAUAAAAAUUAUAUUUUAGUUCAUAUACUUCGUAUCCAUUGAUAUCUAUAUUCGUCAUUAAGUUCUUAUUGCUUUUACACGAGCAAAUUGGACGCGCUUUACAAACGUUCACAAUGCUUUAAUACUGCAUUAAACACAUGUCGAUCCUUUUACGCUUGCAAUAGGAGCAACAUAAGCAAAGUUGUAACUAGCCUGUAUAGCGAGAUCUUAUCGUAGCGAUCACUUCGAUCUUAUUUACAUUCGCUGACACGGCAGACUCUAUUAAUUAACACCGCUACCAGGAAAUUACGAACAACUAUUUUCAUAAAAGAACAUCGUAUCUUUAUGGAUUGCUGGAAUUUUUACACCGGUGAACAUCCGGUUUCAAGUUUAUGAAAUUAAAUAAAGUCUGAUAACUCUUCGAGGAGAGAAAUUUGUACUUUUCAACUUGAAACAAAUAGUUCAUUUCCAGAAGCAGCGAAUAUUAAUCAGAUCGUAAGAUAUUUGUGAAAGAAAGCAAAUAAGCUGUACCAAUGCUUGUGUAAUUAUGAAACUAUAGUUUUCUCUGUGAUUUCUAUUAACCAAAGUUUUUAUUUUCUCGCUAGUUUCUUAAUGACACCGCUCAAAGAAUAAUAAAACAAUCUUAUUUGCUCUCUUCAUAAUUCAAUUAUCAAAAAUAAUAUUCAAAAGAGCCUACUCAAUUAUAAAUUGCAAUCUUUUAAAUUCGAUUUUCAACACAGAUCAAUUACCUUUCUUUUCUUCCCAACUAAAUCGUACCAGUUUCGUGCAAAACUAAUAAAAUUCAUCUAGCAACGGUAGAGACUAAUUGCAGCCGAAUUUCGUUUCAUCUCUGCUUGUUUAAGCACGAACUACGCGCCUUUAAAUAGAUCAUCGACACUGGAGUUAGCAGUUCAAAAGACCCCAGCAGCGAACAAACAAACCUUCUCAUUCCCUUAAUCUUUCCGGCCACUCGAUCAGUUACACAAACCUCCGUGUAUUAUAAUCCAAACUUAUAAUUCAUCGAAACGCGAAGCACAUCGCCACGACAAGGUUUUCGCGCGCCGUCAUCAACAAACCGAGCGUUCGUCAUCAAUCCUUCCAAACAAUUUCAUUAAACCGAGCAAGGAAACGCUGAAAAAUUAAGUAGCCAUAAAUUAGUAUCUACUUGGUGUAGGUUUACCGGUUCCGAGGCCAGUGUUAAUUAAUAAUUGCCUGUCGUUUCCCCAAGCGGCAAAAGGAAGAUCGACCGCUUUUUGUUUUCGCGUCGUCGACGAUCCAGUCGGGGGAAGAAAAGAAGGGAAUAUCUUCGGUUCUCUGACCGUAGUUGGCAUGUGGAAGAGAGGAACAUGUUGCCUUAAAGAGCCUUGGCCUUAGCCUCGACUUUAGUUAUCGUAGCCCUCGAUGCGUUUCUGACCCAAUACAAAAACCGACUAUAUGUUUUAUCCGACUCACGACCGGCGAACCAUACGAAGUAAAGAGCGCGUGCCGGCGCUAAUAAGUGUACGCUAUUAAUUGCAUUGCAGAAAGAAGAGGAUAAACUGACGAAAUUGCUAUAAAGGGGAGAAUGAGUCGGACGACUAACGUUGAUCGAGCACUGAGGAUACGAUGUUACACGUACAGCUACAAUUACGCGUGCAAUUAUUUGUUGAUUGAUGCGCUAGUACGAGGCAUCGCGUGGGAAGAUGCAUUACGCGUUUCUGAACGAAAUGCUUUGUAUGCGGGGUGAUAACGAGUUAACAUUUGGUUUGCAUUUGUAAUUUAUACGUUUGGAGGAUUUUCAGCAGAUUCCUGGAAUUAUAUGAAGACUCGUAGGGCAGUCGUGAAACGACUAAAGUUGAAAGAACGAGGAUAAGUAGUAAACUGAUUAUAACGCUUGAGAAUUAAAAAGAAUGUGUAAGAUCAAAGCAAUUAUUCAUUUUCUUCGUUCAUUAAGUAUUUCAAACGUAUGUACUUUACAGAAAGUUAAAACACAGGUAAGUUCAUUAAAACUGAUCUAAUCUGCGCUAAUUGAAUAGUUUCUAUUUUUUAAAUGAACAUUCUAUCUGUUCUGUUCUCUAUGUUUUCAUAAAUCAAGAAUUCGGUACGUGAAAAGAAUUUCGAACGUUGUUGAACUUGAUAAGGAAUUUUGAAAGAAACCUCGUGGCCAUUUGUUCGGGGUACGCAGCUUUCAAACCCGGUACUUUCAUGCAAAUCACAGACACUCAGAUGCCCUGAAAAACGCUUAAGAAGCGCAACGUUUAGCAUCAAGCACGCGAAAGACAAACGUUUCGUGAAAGAACAAUUGUACCGCGUGAAUCGCAUUAUUUAUGAAGCACGAAGAGAGUCGUCACCAAGCAACUAAUAACGGCGCUUUGGACGAGCAACAGGCCGUAUGAUUUCUGCGUGUGCUGUAAAAUUAGGACCAGUUAUCUUUCGCCGACGUUUCCGGUUCUCUCGCGAGUGGCGCCUCAGGGAAGCGAAACGUCAAAAGAAGAAACUAUGGGAGAAAAAAGAAACGAAAAGGGGGAGAAAGGAGAGCGAGUAGGCGCCCGUGAUCUUCAAGGUGCAAUUUCGGAUGAGUGGGCGUCAGUGAAGGCGACGAAGAAGAAUAGAAAUGAAAGAAGUUGAACGACCGGGCAAUCGAACGUCCGAAUGGACAUUUUUAUUCUGCUGCUCGCGUACCAUCACCUCGAUACCUUCCAGUCACGCGAGAAGGUGUUACAUUCCGAACUGACAGCCUUCACUUUCAGAGCUGCUCCUCCCUACUGACGUUCGACGAUUCUUUAACUCGUUUAGGGUCGUGAUCUUUGGUAGAACUCCAAUUACCUAGAAAUUCUGUUUGAGCUUCGAUAAAUAUUAAAAUAUCUGUCCGUUGGAGAUACUGUUUUAUAUUCGAAGCAGCUUUUUCUAAAGGGACUAUAGUUGCGUUUCUUUAAUAUUUCGUUUUCCCCGUAUAAGGAAAACCUGCAAGUAAUACGUAAGUACAUGCUUCUUAAAGAGUUGGAGGACGAAAGUCCUUGGCUUUCAAUCUUCAGAAAAUAAGUUGUAAUGUACAUGUUGGUAUCAUGUAUCGAGGAUUGCAUCUAAUUCGAUCGAAAUCAUCGAGCAUCGAUCUUUUUAAUUUUUCUCUCUUUUCUCUUAGUUUAAUAGAAAAUGGUUCUUUAUCUGAAUUGUUUAUUAAUUAUUUUUAGGCUAUCCCUAAUACGGUAAGAACAAUAUGAUAAUGAUAAAGACGAAUAGUUGGUACUACCAUUAAGAAAAAUAGUUCACGAUUCUCUGGUUCAAAUGUUAUUAGUAGCAGUUACUUCGAAUAUUUUAAAAGCAAAUCUUCGUACAUCUUUCAACUUUUCGCUUGCCUUUCGAAAUUCAAUCGCUAAGGCUACGAGACCUUUAACAACGUUGUACGAUGAUUUACCAUAUCGAGAGCAUUCGUUAAUGUCGUUUGAAUUGCCACUAAACUAGUGGAAAAGGAGACGAUAAGCCUCGUUAACAACAUCAAUUUUACACGUUUCUUCAAGGGAGAAUCGUGUUACUCGCUAUUCAGCGACGUGUCUAUAUCCUGUCGAGUCUAUCGUGACUGAUGAAUGUUAAAGUAGAUUUAUAGCAGACUAUCUGCGUGACAUUACACGUAUACACCGUUUUACGAAUGUUUGCUGACACGAUGAUGUUGUAAUGUUUCCUUUGUGGCUUACCUUUACAGCAGAGACAUGCUGGUGAUUUUCGUGCACGAUUACGGUUUUGAUGUCAGCAUGCGAUUUUAAAGUUGUAAGUACGGUUAUGCAAGAGUUCAAUUAUUUCUGAUAAACUACGCAACAUCUCUCGUCUUCUAUGGAAACGUUAUAACGUUUAAGCGGAAAAUGUGGUGAUCGGUGUAAUUGAAGAAUAAAUACUCGAAUUUAAAUCUUGCCAGUUCGCUAAGAGGAUGGUUGUGUGUAGAAACAAUUAGGAGGAGAAGCUUGAAGAAAAUUAGGGCAAAGAAGCGGCGAUAUGAAGUAACAAGAAAGAGAAGUAGAUAUAAUAUUUAAGAUGGACAAAGUAUGCAAAGAAAAUCGGAGAAACAAUAACGAGGACUCGCCUGAAUAUUUAAGAAAAAACGUAAGAAAACAUGAAAAUGAGUUAAAACUGAGAGCGAGUUUUAGAAUGGCCAAUGAAUCUAGGAUAUGUAGAUAUAAGGGCAGAAUACACAGAAAGGAAAUGUAGGUUACGUAGUGAGGAAGAUGAAUCUUUGGAACACGCGAUAGAAAGAUGCGGAAUGGCGGGAGAUAAAGAUUUAAAUUGGGUAGAAAUAGUAAACUUGGCAUACAAAUAGUGUAAACAUCGUACAGACAUAUUAUAUAAUUACUUACACACAUAGAACUUGUGAGAAAUUAAAAAAACCAUGAUUUCCGAAAAAAAAGCAACGAAGACAUUAAUCAUAAGAAGCAGCAUGUAUUUGAAUUUAAAGUACCUUCUUCUCGAUAUUAAUAUUCCUCGCUGAGAAAAUCUACAAAAUAUUUAUGAACUGCAUGCCACACCUAAUAAAAUUCUACAAAGAGCUACCGAAUCUGUCUACCGAUUUCCAUAAUUCUUCCGAGAGAAACAACGUGCUUCUGAAGCACGUACAGGUCCUCGGAGGGGAAUCUACCCCAUAUUUUACAUUCUAAACAAUUUUGUCGUCGAUAUACCAAGGACGAUAAGAGAGGAACGACGGCAAGGAUGAGCUACUAUCGUUAGGAGAUCUUAUCGUUAACAAAACGCCGUCCAGCUUUGUCGGAACGUACAAAUUGUGCCACGGACGCGUAGCGGAAUUCCGAUGAAGCCCGAUAACGAUCGGCAACACGCAGGUAACAGGGCUGGUAAUCUUCCUGGAGAAUCGCGCGAGCGAUAUCCCUAAAAAGGAUGCGCGCGAGGACGCGAGAACGCGUGCAGACCGCACGCAUCUCGCAUAAAUCCAGACAGAAAUUACCGACAAUUGAGGUACUCGUCACUUCGUAUCAGAUGCUGCGUCGUGCAUUUAUAGUCGUUUCGAGAAUAAAGCGAUAGAUAGAUUUCCCUUAUACGCUAAUUUACUGCUUUGCGCUGCUUUCCCUUGCGUUUCAUUCACAGCGCUACUUUUCUACCUUCUUUUACCAUUUCGUUUCUAAUAAGUUUUAUAAUUUGAGAAUUUCAUGCUCGGAUUAAACGUAGAAUUCGAAUAUUCUCUAUGUUAUAACAGUAAACUUUAUCGGCGGGUAAAAAUCUCUUUUUCGGAAUAAAAUAUUAGAAGCAUAGCAAGAUAAACGUUCCGUAACGGUAAAAACGAUAAAAGUUCCAUAAAAUUUCACGCAAACGAGAGUACGAUAUGACAACAAUAAAUGUAUAACAUGUAAUAUAUAAUAGUGUCGUACAAAGACAGACAAAUUUUUGUCUCAGUUCACGAGUACAACUUUCGUACAUUUUGAAUUCGGAUCAUCAAAGAAGACGAAUUGGUCGGUUAUUUUGCAUAUUCGGUCGAUGAUGUUACUAUUACCGAGUCUCGAUUUACGAAUAGGCACAUAGAAUAAGGGUGAUCGUCAGAACAGCUAAUUCUUGUUAUGGCAAAGAAAGGUAAUUUAUAGAAAUCGCAAUAAGCGAAUUUAUUUGAAUAAAAUUAUUAAAUAAUCUUUUAUCAACUAUUAGAAUAAUUUUUUAGAAAUUAACAUUUUAUCAAUUAAAAUUCGAUAGAGUAUUGUUCAGGCAAUGAACGCGAUUGCAAUGGCAUCGUGCGAGAAAGACGAUCAGCAUCUGGCAAGACUUCCUGUCUCGGUAAGAUGCCUAUUUACGAAGCGCGCCUCUACAAGUUUUACGGGCAAGGAUUCCCCUUCAUUGCUCGCCCACCUUCAACUUCCGGUAGAUUCAAAUAAAAAGCUGAGCGUGAUUUCAUCUCAAACGAACGGUCGCCCUAUUUACUCGCAAGCCAAAGCCAAGGAGAGAAAAAAACGAACGUUUUAGAAUUUGCUCCUACACAUCAUUUUCGUAUGAUGAAUUUAUUUUUCCGUAUGCGUGUAUAUUUUUGUUCGCAAAUCUACUACUACUACGUAACUUUAUACCUACGAAUUCCUUUUUACAUUAGUUACUAUGUAAUUCAAGAACGUAAAUCUUUAAAAACAUAUGAUUUUGUUAUUCUUUAUUAACUUUUAUUUUUGAUCUCGCGGUAUAUAAAUCGAAUGAAACUUUGUCAUACGCUAGAAGGUCGGUAUAUAGGCAUGUAAAUACAAUAAAUUCCAUUAAGAAAUACAUCUGCUACGAUUACGUGUUCUGAUACGACUAAUUACGAGUUAAGAUAAAAUGAACGAUACAGUUGUUUGAAAGCAAUCAGUGACAUCCUUGCUUCAGCCUGAUUAAAAAAUGUUUCCACGCAGUGCUUAUUUUCUAUAAUUUCAAAUAAUUUCCAAGCAAUUUUUCUCUGAAGUUGAGCGGAAUCAUAUGAUAACGGUGUAUGGAGAAGUGGAACGCUGGAAAACCAGAGAGGCUCGCAACACUUUAUACGACGAUAUAAGCCAGGGACUCUGAUAUAACACUACUCGGCACGAGGAUACACGUUGGAGGCAUAUCUCGUGUUAAUUGCGCGGUACUCUCAUGGUACACCUUGAUGACACUCACAGGUAGUUGUCAGAAACGUGUUUCACUUCCGGGUUGUAGCGUCGUCUUUUUGCCCACCCUUUGAGACACUAUCGUCUUGUAUUGCAGCGUCAUAAAGGAAAUUCAAGCAGAAAAAUGAACAGGAUACGUUAUCCUAUUACACUCGACUUGCAAUAAAAUAUGGGUCGUAAAGAAACAAAAUUUACACUGUUAAACUAAAUUUCAAAGCACUGGAAUUCUUAGUGAAAAAAGAAAAAAAUAAAGGGAAAGAAAAGGGAGAAAUCUACAAAACGCUUUUCCAGAAGCACUUAAAUACUAUCUCGAGUUACCUGUUUGCUGUUGGACCCAUCCGAUUCACCAUGAACCGUUUUCAAGCUAGACAGAUAAAGAGGAAGCGUGGAGAGAGUACUCGUGCUUUUCAAAAGACAACGACAACGGAACGAAGAGAAGCAGAGAUAAGAGGAAGGUAGCUAAGAAAUAAGUGUAUACGGCACUGGGCUCAUCGUGGAUCGGUAUAAAUAGCUUCUACUUACGGGCCCGGAUUUUGCCCGCUUAAUGCGACAUUGCAAUCGGUGACAGUCGCCGGACGAAGCUGUCGGCUUCAAGCGCUAUGAAUCACGGCUAUUACUAUUCCGACUUUAAACCAUAAAUAAUAACAGGCGAGCCACGGUUCUACCGCGUUUCGAGAUGUCUCGAUCACGGACUCCCUACCGGGAAACUAACUGCUUCUAAUUUUCCACGAACGCAUGCUGGCAAACGCGCUGGGUGUUUCUGCGUUAGGGAAGCUAUUGCGGGACUUGAGGAAAUUGCCUGCUUUUCAAUGCGUUUCCACGGUAGAUCGUGGGAGGAAAUUGGCGUUGGCAAGGAAAAAUUGCCAGAUGAGGAAAUUGAUGUAGUAACACAGGACGUAGAUACUGAUUGGAACUUUCAGAGAUAGUUUUGGUAUAAACUGUCGUAAUUGCAAGUCUUUAGACGUUUCGCCUGCGGAAAUUUUCAUACGUCGUUGGAAUUAAAAAUUUCCUGGAAGAAUUUCAAUGUUUCAACGAACUUCGAAAUAGUCUGUGGCUAAAAAAUAGUAAGUUAGGGAAAUGAAUUGCGAAGUCAGAUUAAAUACGUAUAGGUGGAAUUUGAGAGUAUCGGAAGGAAGAUUUCAGCACAAGAAAUAUAAUAUAAUACUUAUCAUCGCGUAAUAUUUGUUUUUCACAUUGCAAAUUAUUCCAACUGCAAUUAGAGCGCGUUUAACAGAGCAAAAAACUAGUGAACGACUGCAGUUAUUUUUAGCCUGGAAAUCUUAAGGGACAAAAUGCAAUCAUCGCCUGACGGAGAGGUCUACAAAGGCCAGCAUGAAAAUUAAUCUCAAUUUCAAAGAAGGCAAUCCGGCCGCUCGAGCUCGAUCUAACAUAAAUCUGACGUUUACAAACGACACUUUAAUGAUAUCUCGACCACGAUCAGGGUGGCAAGGUGUACGACGAAUGUCAUCCAGCGAAUAAAUCUUCAUGGCGUAGAGUAGAACAAUGAACGCUAUCUAGACUCGCCGAUCGAUUUAGAAUGGUAAUUAGACUAAUGCCGAGUUAUUACGCUCCGCGCAAACGAAAAUAUCCAUAUUGUUCGAAAGACCGAACGAUUAAUGGUCUGGUGAAACUCGACACGACAGCCUCUGGAUACGUGAAACGGGCAGCUAGACCUGGUCACAGAACACACGCGUAGGUAUCACGAUUUAGUAGGAGAGAAGAGACAAAAAUACCCGGUCUCGCGACGUUCCAUAUACAAAAGCGGAGGUGUGACGAAUAAAGGCGUUAGGGGAAAAGAUCGACAACUUGCCGGAUGUUAGGGGCUGAUCUUUUCUCUCUCCGUCUUGCCCUACGAUGCUGCUAACGAUGCUGCGUGAAAUAGACGGUUUAACAAAGUUUACGAGGCGAGCAGCGUGAAACGACGAGCGAAACGAACCGAGGAAUAUUCCGAUUGAUUCGUUCUGUGCCUCGUCUGUGAUGAUUCGGUUACGAUAUACCUACGUUUACUAUCUUAUGAGCGUACAAAAUUUAACACGUUUCGAGAGUGUUGCAAAUUGGAGAAACAUUAAAGCGUUGAGGUACGAUUUACGUAAAAACGAGUACAUGUACGGUAUCAUUAAAGUGAACAGAUCAAUUUGAAUAAUAUGAAACGCCAAGAGAUUAGGAUACGGUUAUGAAUAAUGAAAAAUAUUAAAAUAUUAAUAUUAAUUAUUGACAAUAAAAGGAGUUCUUUUAUUCUGUGAGAAAUUAGAUAAUAUUUACACUGUUUAAAAAUAUCAGUGAAGUAUCAAAUAAAAAUGAAUAAUUAAAUUCGUUUAAACGAAACUAUCGGUAUACGUCUGUUUAAAAUUAUAUUUCUGUCUUGUCGAAAUGCAUUGUAAUUUGCGAACUAUCUACUUUUAUACCGAAUUCAUUUGUUAUACCCCUGAAACAGCAGUCUGUCAAGAAAUAACCAAAAUUACACGCGCGUUUUGAGGAUUGCUUAUCUUUCAACGAACAAUAAAAUUGCUGGAUGAAAUCCAUUAGUCAAGUGCAUUGUGAAUCGAGAAAAAUGAAGAUGUUAUAGCCACAACAGCAAACGGGGAUUAUAGUGCCAUGAACUGUGCCAGAGGGUGGCAAAUCUCAUAAAUCAUUUAGGCUUGGACGUAACGAAAUAGCAUGAAGAUCAGGUUAAACUUACAGUAAUUGAUAACGAAGAGAAAUCUGUGCUUCAAAUUUGAUCCUCACAAGAGGUCUGAAUAAUUGUUAGAAAAGAUUCCAUUUGUAAACGUUACUAUCUAUUUGUAAACGUCUAUCUUUAAAAACAAUCAUAUUAAUUAUAGAAUAUUAAAUGAAUAAUUAAAUUGUUUAAAGAAACAUUUUAAUUUUUCUAAUACUAAAGAAUUUUAAUAACUUCAUUGUUAAUAAAUAUAUCGAUGGAACACAAAUAUUUGUUUAAACGAACAUUAAACUUUCUCAAAUUUUUACAGACAAUCUUUUGCUUACUGAAAUUAAUUAUCCGUUCCAAUGAGACUAAUAACUAUUGAAUAAUACAUUAUAUAUUCAAUAUUUCGAUAUGGAUAACUUUUCUUCUUCUUCGGCAAUUUUUCCAUUUAUGAAUAACGAGAAUAGAAAGGAUAUAGUUUUCAUCGGCUGUCAUCUACAAUUCUCGCUAACUAAGAAAACCGGUUGAUUAAUACAGGAAUGGGAUAUUUAAUCAAAACAGCACGAUGGGAUACCGAUAUCACUGUAAGAUUUGUUUAUAACAUUCGUUCCGUUUGAAAUUAUUAAUAUUCACGUGUACUUACAAAUAAAGUACAUAAUAGAUAUUUCAAUUUUUCUUCUACUUCUGCAUGCACGUAAAUAUAAUUACAAUAUGCAUGUUCCGCUUCGUAUCAUAAAAAUGUUAACAUACAACAUGGAAUUUUGCAUGCUGCACAGCUCCUGUAAUCGACGAGCCUAAGCAUAUCUAAUCCUAUUUAAGCAUAUCGCGUACUAUUAUAUAAUAGUAUACUUUCUCUUUUUACCGCAUUAAUCUAACCAUGCAUUGUAUUUGCACUUUUCUAGAUAUUUUUAUUUGAUGAUGGUAUCUCUAAAAUGCUUAAUACUCUAUAUUUUACGUAACGUUAUUUUUGUAUAUUUUCAGCAAAGAAUGGAAAAAUGUCUCGUUACACAAAAAUAGUAUCUGAGAUUUUUCUUUCACAAAUUAGAAACUAUCAAAAUUGAUAUAAAAUGUUCACCACAAAAUAUCAAAUAAUUAAAGAAAAAUUUAAAUUACGACACUUUAUAUUGAAAUGUCAGAAUCGCCUAUCACAGUUAAUUGAAAAGUAAAAAUUUAUGUUAAUCGAUAUUACAUAUCCAAAUAACAUAAAAUGCGAGUGCAAGGGUCAACAGAGCGACUGAUAACCUUUGAACUAGAAAGAACUGUAAUGUUCUCUUUAUUUUAACUAUUGCUUUUUUCAAGCUAUCGCUUCGUACAUGAUCAAGUAUGUCAUAUUUCUUUUUAAUCCUUUAUUUUAUAGAUUGUCUUUUGUAAUCAAUGUUUCACCCCUCGUAAAUAACUCUUAAUGAAUUUAAUUAAUGAAACAGAUUAAAGGAGUAUACAACGUAGAGAAAAGACACACAACAUUAAAAUUGAAACGUAUUUUAUUUUGCCACAUAAUAACCGAUAAAAUGGUGGCAAAGAUUUAUUACGGAAAAUUAUAAUAAGUGAAAUGAAAUAUUUCAUCGAAAUAUAAAAGUCUCAUUUAGUAAACUAUUACUUAUAAAUAAAAGUAUUUUACUAUACGAGUAUGUAUAUAUGUAAAAAAGUAAUUAAAUAAAUUAUUCAGAGAAAAGGUUAAUUUCAACGAAAACGAUCCUUUCUUUUAUCACGGACGUUCAAUUAUAAAUUUAUAAUAAAAGAUCUUUGUUCAACUAAAAGUCAGAAACAAAGCGAAUUUAAUAAGAAUUUAAGUUGAAUAAAAAUCCAAGUUAUCUGAAUUAUCGAAUCUUAAGAAGAAUAUGUAAUUAAAAAUUUGUUAAUCAUACCUCAGAAGCUUUAUAACUUUAUGACAACUGAUUCUAUAAAAAAUCCGCAAGAAAUUAAAUUUAACAUUCACUGAUUAUACCAAACAACAACUCAAAUAAGAAAUGUAAAUGUACGAACAUUCAUUUCUUGCGAAUGCAUAUCACGUUUCUUGGCUGUACAAUAAAGGCUGAGCAAGAACAAAAGGAAAUGAAAUAAUCGAGACAAUCACUGUUGCCGACCCUUCUAUGCUCUCAUAUUUUACUAAAUUCACGCUGCAAGUGCUAUUAAAUUCUUUCAUUCCCUUAAUUUUUCUUAAUUUCGUUUUUAAUUGAGUUUCCUUAUUUGCUUAAGAUCAUGUAUCUUAUAAUAUUCCGAAGAAUUAAAUAAGGAUGGGUUCACUGAUUAAACACUUUAAAUCGAACGAAGUGAAUUCUUUUCGUGUCGAAUAAUCAAACUGAAUCGAAAAUCCGCAUUCGUUUAAUUCAGGAAUAUUUAAAUUGGUAAAAGGGUCACGUUUGAGCAAGGAACUAUACGAUCUUGCUUGAACAUUCAUUUUAUCAUAAGCGUGGGCGUGCCCUUGCUAUGCUCAUAAUAAACGUGAUUCCAUAGUCGACUGCAUCGAAAAGCAAUUUCAUCGAACCUUGUCCGUGAAACUGGUUCUUUUCAUCAAACAAUUACGUCGGAAAUGGGAAUUUUAUGGUACAGCUGGAAUAUAAAACAUUUCUCUCUUAUUUCACUGCGAGUAUGUAUUCCUAAAGUAACAAUAACAUUCCUUAAAAAAAAAAAAUUCGUCUUUCAAUCGCAAAAUGUAAUUUCAAUUUUCAGUUUGAUAUUUCUGAUAACACUCGAAUGUCAAAAAAUAACAAAAUUCUUAAUAUUUCGUUUUCUAUUUCAAAUACACCUUUUAUCUAAAUAAUCGUAAAUUUUUUAAAUGCAUGGACUUUUUAAUCUUUUACUAUCAAUUUAUUCAUACCAUUGUGUUAUUUAUAUUAUCAAUACAUUGUCAGUAUAUUUUUUACAAGGAAUUUAGAGUGAUCUUUUACGUACAGUUCUUCAAGGUAAUUUUCUUAAAAAAGGAAGUUUACUCUUUGUCAACUGCAAUAGGGUGCCUGUAGGUAAGUACAUUGUAUACUUAGGAUACAGUGGCAUGUUCUGUAAGUUUACAAUUCCCAACUUGCGCAGUCGAUGGAUUUCUGUUUAGAAAUAUCUCGUGCAGCCGCAUUCCCUUCAAAAUUUGACGUCCUGUUUGAAUAUUUAGACGAAGCUACAAACUCGUAGUUGAAUUAAACGAAAAACCCAAAAGUUGUAUCUCAUAAUAUUUAUAUUAAUAUUCAUAGUAUCUCUAUUUCUACAAGAUCAUUCUAAAUCUUUCAUAAAGAUAAUUAAUUAUAAAUAGCCCACAAAUUUCUAUUCAUAAAAUAUUUUCAUAUUUUUGAUAAUCAAAUAUCCAUUCAUUAACUUCAAGUUAAAUUUAUACGAAAUCACACGAAUAAUAAUAUUCGAAUUAACAAAAAUCUGUAUUCAUACAUGUAGCUUCAAAUAACCACCAGAUGCAUACAAUUACAAACGCUCAACAGAAUACGAUCAUAAGUAUACUAUCUGCAAUGAUUAUUCUAAAAAAUAAUUCUCAGCUAUCAUAUUUCACGCUGGAAGAAUUUGUUUGAGCAAACUGAAAUACCUUUACAGCAUUUUUUCAAAUAUUUCAUCGUUCCGCAUAAAGAACGUAAGAUUGCAGGUAUAGCGUAUCUACCAUAGAGGCAACCGCGUGCAAAUAAUGAUCAAAGAACAGUUGCGUGUACAGCGGUGGCAAAGUUGCUGCUGUAUAAACAGCACUGCUGCAGGAUAUGGCAGUUUGCGCAAAUACUAAGUUCCAAACUACACGCUUUCUAUAGUUUCGAGCACAAUAAAAAGACACAGCACAGUCAUCGAAGUUACAUUAAAACUUUGACUCUGCUAUAGUAUCUGAACCAUAAAAUACUUGGCUAGAAACACACUUUUUUAGUGAUUUGUGAACUCGUUGAGCCGAGGUAAGGAUCAUUUUUCACGCAAAUAAGGUAUAAAAAAAAUUCAUCCUGUUGACAUGUAA